UAUUUGAGUGUCAAAGAUGACUGAAUGAGGGCAGAGAUACCCAAGACCUGGUUGUGCUCUGACAGGAAGACAGGCAGUGCGCAUGGCCUGCAUAAUUCACCUUCCAAAGAACAAUCCAGAAACCACCGUUCGGGAAACUCAGGCACCCUCUCUGGAAAGUUGCCCCGCCAUAACACUCGCAAAUCGGGCGGGACCCGAGUCCCCGCGGGCCACCUGGACCUUAGUGUCCCCAUUGGCGAAGCAGUGAAGACGACUCCGGCUCUGCGAAAUGCGGCUGGGGGAAAGGAGACGCGGGGACCGGCGGCGAGGGCGCA
rnacentral:lncRNA from 1 species